rnacentral:hammerhead_ribozyme from 1 species
AUCCAGUUGACGAGUCCCAAAAUAGGACGAAAUGUGCCUUAUCCUGGCUGGAU